rnacentral:rRNA from 1 species
CCUACGGGUGGCAGCAGUAGGGAAUCUUCGGCAAUGGACGGAAGUCUGACCGAGCAACGCCGCGUGAGUGAAGAAGGUUUUCGGAUCGUAAAGCUCUGUUGUAAGAGAAGAACGAGUGUGAGAGUGGAAAGUUCACACUGUGACGGUAUCUUACCAGAAAGGGACGGCUAACUACGUGCCAGCAGCCGCGGUAAUACGUAGGUCCCGAGCGUUGUCCGGAUUUAUUGGGCGUAAAGCGAGCGCAUGCGGUUAGAUAAGUCUGAAGUUAAAGGCUGUGGCUUAACCAUAGUACGCUUUGGAAACUGUUUAACUUGAGUGCAAGAGGGGAGAGUGGAAUUCCAUGUGUAGCGGUGAAAUGCGUAGAUAUAUGGAGGAACACCGGUGGCGAAAGCGGCUCUCUGGCUUGUAACUGACGCUGAGGCUCGAAAGCGUGGAGAGCAAACAGGAGUAGAUACACGGGUAGUC